UUGCCAGCCCGCUCAGAAACUUAAAGGAAUUGACGGGGCCCGCACAAGCGGAGGAGCAUGUGGUUUAAUUCGAUGAUACGCGAGGAACCUUACCUGGGCUCGAACGUAAGAUGACUGCAGGUGAAAGCUUACAUCUCUUCGGAGCACUUUACGAGGUGCUGCAUGGUUGUCGUCAGCUCGUGCCGUGAGGUGUCGGGUUAAGUCCCAUAACGAGCGCAACCCCUACCUUUAGUUGCCAUCAGGUAAUGCUGGGGACUCUAAAGGAACUGCCUACGCAAGUAGUGAGGAAGGCGGGGAUGACGUCAAAUCAGCACGGCCCUUACGUCCAGGGCUACACACGUGCUACAAUGGCCGAUACAGAGGGCAGCUACCUGGUGACAGGAUGCAAAUCUCCAAAGUCGGUCUCAGUUCGGAUCGGAGUCUGCAACCCGACUCCGUGAAGUUGGAUUCGCUAGUAAUCGCGCAUCAGCCAUGGCGCGGUGAAUACGUUCCCGGGCCUU
rnacentral:rRNA from 1 species